GUGUGUUAAACGUGCUUAUUUGAGAGUGGUUUUGCGUUCCCUGAUGCUCUGACCGAGGCAGCAGGAGAGCGUACAGCCAGACUGGACAUGUCUGAUGCUCUGGAGCUCAGUGAGAGAACAUACCUGGAGCUAGCGCGCGUGCUGCAUGAGGCUCUGGAGCUCAGCGACAGUGAGCUGUCAGGCUGUGCUAGUUUAAAGCACCUACCUCCCGACGAGAGACAGCACAUAGUCUCUAUGAGACAAACAGACCUGGAGUUUUUGAGAACCCGCCUUGAUCUACAGAACAGACAAAGCCAACAGCAAGAGCUACUGCUGCAGGAAAACCAGAGAGAGAUACACACACACUCAGAGAGAGCCAGGUGCUGGAGUACCAGAUGCAGUCUGAGCUUGAGAGUGUGAAGGCAGAACUGGAGACUCAGAGAAAAGAGACGGAACAACUUCGGCUAGCUCUACAGGACAGCAUCAACCAGCUGCAGAGAAACCAGCAGGAAUGCAGUGUUACCAACUGAAAUAAUAGGAGCCUUAGUAUGGAGAGAACGGACAGAAAGUGUGGAAGAGUGGGCCAUCACAACUGUAUACCAAAUGAAAGCUAUGCAAAGGCUCCAGCAGUGAAGAAACGGACCUCACAGAUAAGACUGAAAAGGAGAGAGAGUGAGCUAGAUCAGGGGUUUUCAAACUGUGGAUGGAGCAAGGUGGGUCCCACACUCACUUGGCUGCAGCUAAAUUUGCGUUUAAAUGACACACACUCACACAGUUCAGUCUAGGGCUGCACGAUAUAGCCUACCAAUAUUAAUUACGAAUUGCAAUAUCCUUAGUGUGAUUUUCGAAUUGCAAUUAAGUCAAUUAAGUGCAAUUGCGUGUUUUGAAGCACGGGCACGCACGAGUUGUAAUUACAGUGAGGGUCUCAGAGCAACGUCAUUAUUAAAAGGUUCAAUCGGUCCGCAUUAUUAAUGAGAAAAAAAAAAACUCGCUCACUUCCAUGCGCUGUAUUCUGCAUGAGAUUGCAUACACCAGAAAAUUCAAAUGUUACGGAAAUGGUUUCAGGUAGGCUAUGUUCAUUCAUUUCUAUCGUCUGUUUGAACUGCACUGUUUUCGUUCGGGAAACAGACUGUAAAAGCAUUUCACAUAUAGGCUACCGGGUUAGCAGGGCAUACACGUAGGGUUAAUUGUAACACUACGAGAUUUAAACAUUUCCACAUAACAAAAUUUACAAAAUUUCCUUGACAUAUCAUCUCUAUAUAGAGAAAAAAAAGUUAAAAAAUCUUUUG